AGACCUCUAGCCACUAAAAUGACUAUCUAGGAUAAAAUAGGAUUUUAUUUGAAGAUCAAAGAUUAGGAUUUGAGAGCUAGGUUAGAGCUUAUUCCAAAGACAUAAGGUUGGUUUUAGUAAGAUUUAGAGAGACUUAGCAAUUGUUAUUAGAAGUCGAGGUAUGUAUUGGCAACUUGGGAUUUAUGCAAUAAAAUUAAGGCUAGCACUCU
rnacentral:lncRNA from 1 species